GUAGGGAAUCUUCCGCAAUGGACGAAAGUCUGACGGAGCAACGCCGCGUGAGUGAUGAAGGCUUUCGGGUCGUAAAACUCUGUUGUUAGGGAAGAACAAGUGCUAGUUGAAUAAGCUGGCACCUUGACGGUACCUAACCAGAAAGCCACGGCUAACUACGUGCCAGCAGCCGCGGUAAUACGUAGGUGGCAAGCGUUAUCCGGAAUUAUUGGGCGUAAAGCGCGCGCAGGUGGUUUCUUAAGUCUGAUGUGAAAGCCCACGGCUCAACCGUGGAGGGUCAUUGGAAACUGGGAGACUUGAGUGCAGAAGAGGAAAGUGGAAUUCCAUGUGUAGCGGUGAAAUGCGUAGAGAUAUGGAGGAACACCAGUGGCGAAGGCGACUUUCUGGUCUGUAACUGACACUGAGGCGCGAAAGCGUGGGGAGCAAACAGGAUUAGAUACCCUGGUAGUCCACGCCGUAAACGAUGAGUGCUAAGUGUUAGAGGGUUUCCGCCCUUUAGUGCUGAAGUUAACGCAUUAAGCACUCCGCCUGGGGAGUACGGCCGCAAGGCUGAAACUCAA
rnacentral:rRNA from 1 species